UCGAAUAAAGUUCUAGAUAGAAUAAUGAUUAUGACAAUUUUCUAUCUAUAUGUCUUGACCAAAUUACGUGCCAGCAGUCGCGGUAAUACGUAGAAGACUAGUGUUAUUCAUCUUUAGUAGGUUUAAAGGGUACCUAGACGGUAUAAUUAGUCUUAAACAGGAUACGGUUAUACUAGAGUUAUAUAUGAGGAGGUGAGUAUUUGUGGAGUAGAGUUGAAAUUUGUUGAUACCAUGAGGACUGGUAACGGCGAAAGCAACCUUUUAUCUAAUAACUGACGUUGAGGGACGAAGGCUCGGGUAGCGAACAGGAUUAGAUACCCUAGUAGUCCAAGCAGAAAAUGAUGAAUGCCAUAUAUAAAUGAAAGUGUAAGCAUUUCACCUC
rnacentral:rRNA from 1 species